ensembl:lncRNA
CACAGUAAAAUCUCCAGUGUUGAAAUCCCAGUGUUAAGGACUUUUAGAGUAAAGAGUUAAAGUUGUGGUGUUGAAUUUCAAACGAUUAACACUAGCUAGUGUAAACGGCACCCUCUUGCGGUGUUAACACGGAAAGUAACCCAUAUUUAACACUGUUGAGUGUUAUUAAUAACAUCCGGGACAUUUUCUCGUGUGCGCGCAUAACCCAUCUGAAAUAUUUUUCAAAGACGCCAUUUUCUUUGCUCGCGAUGCGAAGUGCAUAUGGAAUUAAAACAGCGAAAUAAAGUGUUUAGUCUUACUUACAAAAUAUGUUUUGUAAUAUCAUAUGGUUUUAUAACGAUAUUUAUGUGCUGUAUGCGCCUAAACGUUUCUCAGAGACAUUUCCUUUCACUCGCAACGCGGAACAGACGAGGGCUUUUUUUCGAAACGGGAAAAUCCGAAAGUAAGUGUUUUUAUCUCAUUUAAAAUAUGUAUUUUAUAACAUCACAUUGAUUUAAGGUGAUAUUUAUGUGCUGUACACUCCUAAACCUUUUCUCAGAGCGAUAUUUCAUUUCACCAGCGAAGCGAAGUAGACAGGGAAGUUGGUUUUAACAAGGAAAACACCGACAGUAACAAUUUGAAUUGCUCUGCAGUGCGCAGAUGCGGAGUUCACUAGGAAACACCAGAAAUAUUUUCUUUCACUCGCGAUGCUCUGGAGGAGAUGGGGAAGUUGGUUUUAACAAAGAAAACACCAAAAAUGGUUCAUGCUGGCUUAACAGAAAAAUCAAAAGGAGAUGAUUUGCUUGAAGAGUAUGAAGCCACCAAUAUAUGAGAGUUGUCCAACCUCAACGCAGAGAGAUCAGUAUGCACUUGGAAUUGUGACUGUCUCUGUCGUUAGAAGACCCAUUUUCUAGGGAAGGUGUGUGAUGCUGCAAAUAGGAGUGGAUAUCUUGCUUGGCUGAAAACUGCUGAGAAACGCAUCUUGUCGUGCUGAAAAAAAAGAAGUCUAGAAGAGAGAAAAAGACUAUUCUCUCCAAGGAGGUCCAAACACAGACAUUGAUUAGUGAGCAUUAACAUGUAUUCUGCAUUUAUGGUAAUGAAUGGAAUGCUGUUGUUUAACCUGAUAAAUGUCAGCAUUAUAAAUCUUAUGACAUUAAGAGUACAUAUGGACCAAAUAAGAAUGUUUUUUGUGUCUUUGCACUGAUUUGCUUUGACAUUAUGAUGUUUAAUUGUUGUAAGGCCAUGCUCUUUACAUUGAAUUUUAGAAUUUUACAUUUAGAAUUUAUUUAUUUGUUUUAUUUUGAAUUGCUUUGAAUUGAAACAUUGAAAGUGAAGACAUUUUGGUGCAGGGAAAAAAAUUACAAUGUUUCAAUAAAAUAAAUAAAUGUAAAC